rnacentral:rRNA from 1 species
GGAUAAUCUACCCUUAGGACCGGGAUAACCCUGGGAAACUGGGGAUAAUACUGGAUAGGCAAUUAUUCCUGUAAUGGUUUUUUGUUUAAAUGUUUUUUCGCCUAAGGAUGAGUCUGCGGCCGAUUAGGUAGUUGGUUAGGUAAUGGCUUACCAAGCCGUUGAUCGGUACGGGUUGUGAGAGCAAGAGCCCGGAGAUGGAACCUGAGACAAGGUUCCAGGCCCUACGGGGUGCAGCAGGCGCGAAACCUCCGCAAUGUGAGAAAUCGCGACGGGGGGAUCCCAAGUGCCAUUCUUAACGGGAUGGCUUUUCAUUAGUGUAAAGAGCUUUUGGAAUAAGAGCUGGGCAAGACCGGUGCCAGCCGCCGCGGUAACACCGGCAGCUCUAGUGGUAACAAUUUUUAUUGGGCCUAAAGCGUCCGUAGCCGGUUUAAUAAGUCUCUGGUGAAAUCCUGUAGCUUAACUGUGGGAAUUGCUGGAGAUACUAUUAGACUUGAGACCGGGAGAGGUUAGAGGUACUCCCAGGGUAGAGGUGAAAUUCUGUAAUCCUGGGAGGACCGCCUGUUGCGAAGGCGUCUAACUGGAACGGUUCUGACGGUGAGGGACGAAAGUUAGGGGCGCGAACCGGAUUAGAUACCCGGGUAGUCCUAACUGUAAACGAUGCGGACUUGGUGUUGGGGUGGCUUUGAGCUGUCCCAGUGCCGAAAGGGAAGCUGUUAAGUCCGCCGCCUGGGAAGUACGUCGCAAGACUGAAACUUAA